CCUUUAAAUAUUUAAAGUUUUAAUUUGGUCCCAUAAAGUAUUUUUGAGAUUAGUUUUGGUCCAUUAACUUAUUUUUUGGUCCCUUAAAUCUAAUACAUUCAUCCCAACAUUAAGGACCUAAGUGGUUGACGGAGGAAGAGUUAAGGGACCAAAACGAAACUUUUAAUAGUUAAGGGACCAAAAGAAAACCCUAAUAUAAGUUAUGGGACCGAAACGAAACUUUUAAUAGUUAAGGAA
rnacentral:pre_miRNA from 1 species